GGACCAAGGAGUCUAGCAUAAUGCGCGAGUCUAUAGGCACUAUGCGAAAAUCGAUCGCAGGCGAAAUGAAAGCGAACGAUCAUUAUGUUUUGCGCGUCUGGGGAGAAUCGAGUAGUAUACUGUAUGGUCNUCAGCAAUCCCGGGGCGUCGUUACGUCUCGUUGAGAUACGACAUGCACCUAGAGCGUUAUACGCUGGGACCC
rnacentral:rRNA from 1 species